rnacentral:lncRNA from 1 species
AUGCGCAGACAUCUGGGCGUUGUCAGGGACGCCGGCCGGCGACUCCGGAGUCUUUAAGGAUGAGCUGCUGUGAUCCCACGGUUGCAAAAUCCCGAGUAGCCAGUGUGGAGCGGAGAUCUUCCAACCUCUUCAGAGGGCAGAGCGCAGGGUCAAGGUUCUGAAUUUACCUGCCCAUGCUUUUGAGAAAUUGAGAAUAUUUGUUCUCAGCCGCAAUUCCAUUCUAACAGCCCUUAUUUUCCUGUCCCUUGCCUGGAGCUUUCUGAGCCAAUUUUGUGUUGGUUUUGUUUGUUUGUUUUAACUCUUUCACUAUCUUGACAUACCAUUUUCCUGCCACUUUGUCCCUAGUGCUAUGAGUUUUAGGCUUUCCUUCCCCUUCUCUCAUAAGUAGUACUAACUUGACAUACUCCUCCAUUAGCGCUGAAUCACCGUGCUCUUCUCAGCCCCAUUUCUCAGCUCUACUGCCUCUCGAGUCUCUGUAAUCUUGGCAAACCCUGGUGUAACUUAACGCUGUAUUUGGAAAAAGAAAAAAAAAAUCUACGGUACACAUUCUAUCUUCCUUUCCCCUUCUCUUCCACCCACCCUUUGUCUCUUCCUUCUUUUACGUUUCCGAAAGUAUUCAAUGUGAUUGGCCCAUAGUUUUUAAAGCCCACCAGCAAGAAAAUAAGUUUUCGAAUUAAUAUUUUUCCCAGACUGUGGUUGUGAAAUCUAUUAAAGAUUUUAGCCUGGUUGGUUAGGUGAAUAGAUUAGUUGUGUCUAACCAACUUAAAGAAAAAAAUUAGGGGGAGGGGUUUUCAUUUUUUUAAGGACUAUUACUAAUUAAACUGUUUCAUAAUAGAGAAAACACUAGAGGGGUAAAGUUCUCACUGUUGCUUAUGAAACCUGUCUCUGGAGAUGGGUUAUGUAGAAGCUAAAACCGUGUUCAGUGAGUUAAUUUGUUAGUUAUCCUGAAGGUGGCAGUCUGCUCCAAGAUUUCCAUCUGAGAGCUUUUUAAACAAGUUCAUAACUGGGUGCCUUUUUUUUAAAACCAAUUUCUCUGGACAUCAAGAAAUGUUCCUUGGCCUCAUUAAGUCUGUUCUGUGCUUUAAGAAUUAUAGUAGCAAUUCCACUCACUGCCUGCUAAAGUAUUUUAAAUUUUCAUGUGAUUCCACCAAACUUAGGGCUACAUGAAAGUAACCUUACACAAGAGUUUCGAGUGAGUCCAGGACAGCAGAUAGUACAAAAUUAAAGAUCUGUGAAUUUCUACACGCAGGAAAGCUUGGAUUUGACACUGGAAGAGACAGUGGCAGGUGAGCCUAUUGUUUUAUCUAGCCUUGGCCUGGGGUUACUCAGACCCUUAAAGACCAAAACAAGGCAGAGAGGCUCCAGCAGAACCCACCUUUGGCUAUCUUACUUUGGUAAUCAGAAUGGAAACAAAAUCCUGGACCAUAAAUCCAUAAUUUCAGCUCUUCUUGUCAAGACAUACAAUGUAGCAGAAGGUCUGAACUUAAGAUUUUCUUUCUGGCUUCUGCCUGAGGAUUGAAGGCAGACCCUCAAGGGAAGUCAGAAGUCUGCUUUUCUCUCAGCCAAACUGAAGUAAGGUUGAUAGCUGAUAAUGAAUGAUAGUGAUGAACUCCAAAUAUCACCAAAACAGUAAAAUGCUAGUUUUUGAGAAGAGACAUUUUCCUUUGUUUUGUUUCGUGCUGUAUGCCCAAAUGGUGCCAGGACAAAGUGGGUGUUUAUGCCAAGAUCAGUUUCAAUCAUUGACUAGCAUGCUCUUUCCAUGUGAUGGUGUUGUUGAACCUGGGAAGGCUGGAACAUCAAUAGGCAUUAUAACAAGGGUCUAGAAUGCCAUCUGCCUUUGCCUCGCACUCGCAGCAGUAAUAGUCACCAUCAGGUAGAACCUGCAAGCUUCCCUCACCAUUGUGUAGCAAUUUCCUCCUGGUUGAACCUUCCCUCCUAAAGCAGGAGGGAUGCUUAUGAGACUCAGGAAGUCAACAGAGCUUACAAAUCUGGGAAAGCUGAAGGCUACAUGUUAAAGAAGGCCACUGAAUAGUGCUAGGGAGAGGAGGAUUAGAGGUGAGGAGCUGCCUGCCCGUCAGACAAAGAGCUCCAGAAUUGCUGUCUCAGUGAGCUGUUACCCAGAUCGCAGCAGGCUGGUUAGUGAAAUGGCUCCUUACUAGUCAUCCCGUUCCUCUAAUGUAUUCCAGUGAGUAACCCUCCCCCCAAAAUUCACUGGCUUCCCAAGUUGGACUCUGGUGGAAUUAUAUACUUUAUCCAUUCAUUGGUUCCCUAGCUCCAGUUAGUAGACAUUUAUUCACGUCUUCCGAAGAAGUGUCAGGCACACAAUACUUACCCUCCUCAGUUCUCCUCUCUGCCUCUACUCACCAUUACACACUCCUCCCUGUACAGAACACACUUCAGUGUCCUACAAGGCAUUUUAGAACUUACACUCAGGAAGUAGGUGACUCAAGUUCAAGACAUACGCUAAAGGCGUUAUAGUGAGCAAGUUGCAGAUGUUCGUGGGUCUCAGAAAUAUCUUUGUGGGAUAUUGAUGUUGAGGGAGAAUCUCUCUAAAAUCUGCACUACAGUACAGGAGUCAAUGGAUUUGUAAGAGCCCAAUUCACAUUAUUUCUGAGGUUGUAGGUUUGGCUAGUUUUAUAGUGACAUGGAGUUACUUGUUUGUGAAACUUGCAACUGGAAUCAGAGGCACCCAGACUUCAAGACAAAAGGCAUUAGUCUUUUUGUAGAUCUAGUGUUCAAACUAAGGAACUGUGAACCUUAUAAAUCACAGUGAAAAGAAACACAGAUCUCUGCUCAAAAGAAAUAUAUUAUGAGCCAAAUAUGAAUGACCAUAGCUUGAGAAUAUAGAUUCAGGUUGUCCUAAAUGAUAUGAUCUAGUGUGGGAGUGGGUAUGUAAACUUUUCAUAAGCCAGAACAAAAGAGCCAUAAAUUAAUGGGCUUACCAAAUAUACUUAUUGUGGCAAGGUUACCUAAUAAUAGCAGCUGCUAAAAGGGCUAUUUGUUUUGGUUUACAGUCCAAGGCUAUACAGACUAUCAAGGCAGAGAAAGCAUGGUAGCAAAAGUGAGACACCUAGUCACUUUGCCUCUGCAUUCAGG